GAAGUCCAACCUUUAAUGCAACUUAGUUUUCGUUGGUGCAAGUGCUUCUACUGGAAACAUCCAAAAUAUGAUUUAACAAAUCAGGUUGCUGUCUUGUAGUUUUAGAAAUUUUCCUCUGGUCUUAAGUCUUUUCUGAAUCUGGAAGAGCUGGCUGAUUGCACAUUUCAUCUCGAGAUAGCUCGCACACUUCCAGCAGCACAGCUGUCGUCUUCUCGGAAGCAGGCACUGAUGCUUGGAGACCUGCAGAGCACAAACUGCAGCAUGUAUGCCGAAAUAAACAGCUGUUGCCUAUUUCAAAUAAAACCAAUGUCAGGUGUGGCGAGCCCGGGAGACAGCAAGAGCCGCAGGAGUCCUGGACUAAGGGCGCCUCCCACACAAGCAGAAAUACACCUGCUUUUCCUUUCUUUUCUUUAAUACAAUAGUUUACCUGACUUGGAGGCAGUUUUAUCUCGGGAGCUCCUAUCUGAAUACAUGGGAAAAGAGAAAUAGUUUUUCUCUGAAGCCAGCAAUGGAAUUCGAUGAGGUUGGUUACACGUUAAAAAAAAAAAAAAAAAGCUGAAAUGUAGCCACUGUUUUAGGGGGCAAUGUUUUGUGGCAGGAAAUUUUGAAAAUUGUGAAAUUAAAAAGACUUUUGUAUGAAGUUUACAACUUGAUACAAAAGCUAUGACAUUGUAAACUUCGUGCUUAUAUUUUUUAAGCUUACUGACUCUCAGCAAUUUUUCCUAAAUAUUCAAGGUCCUAAAUCAAAAUUAUGCAGCCUAGAAUGACUAAAAUUUAACUUUUUCUCUCAAAUGCAACAAAUUUCAUUGAAAUUAUUCGGGUAGUUGUCUCAAAAGCAUUUCUGCAUUUUACAUGUAUUUGAAUAAAGAGAUUAGAGUUGGCACUGAAC